ACUAUUUUGGCAGAAAAGUGCUUUAAUUUUAGAAAUUAAAUAUUUAUAAUUUAUUAUAUAAGUAGUA
rnacentral:tRNA from 1 species